GGGCUGUUAAAGUGCUGUUAGAGGCCACAACGCUGGCCACCCGUAUAUCACUUGACAGUAUGUGCAGGCUGUGUUUUAAGCUGAGGGCAGGUUGCUGUGAUGAGGACCGGUGCUCUCCUUUCCACAGAGAUGAGAAAUGAUGGUGGCAGCCCAAAGUCUAAUUAUAAAAAAUGUCGGAAUGCCGCGUGCCUCCGUCCUCCACCUACACAGUAGCCGCUGUCUUUGAUGCAGCUCCCUCAGUCACUUCCCGAGAAGAAAUGACAUCAAUAAACAGUUGUCAUGGUUUUCAAACUCCA